UUCAUCUAUUAAAAGUUAAAAUAGAUAAAAUUAACAGUGACAUCUGGCUGCAUCAUAUGUUGUCACCACUUGUGCUCCAGAUGUGUAAGGUAACACACCUCCUUUGUAACCGCUCCCUGCAUCUUGUAAAAAUGUCUGAACCUGCAACUCUGUUGUUCUACUGUUUUUGCACCCUGUUCAUCAUGUUACCAUGCAACGUUAGGAAGAAACAUUACUCCUGUCAACAUUGAUAUGCUUACUGCUCGUACAGUCAUGUCGACGGUUUCAUCUUUAUAUUGUAUAGCUUUAGGCAUAUUUUUUAGUUUAAUUUUAAAUUUAAUAUUUUUUCACCUUGUAUAAUUUUAAGUAUACUUAGACCUGUCGCUAUUACCAACUGAUGAGGGACUAUUUUCCAUUGGAAAAUAGUCCGAAAUGCAUUUUGGAUUUUUACGGUUUUUAUACUUUGUAAUUAUCUUAUUGUACAACCCUAUCUGUUUUAUUAAAUUUUUUUACUUUGAUUUUUGA
rnacentral:lncRNA from 1 species